UUACCACCAUGACUGCAUGAUGGCGACAUUAAAAGAAGCGGAGCCCCCAGCUGUGAAUGGAUCCGACCAGGAGCUUCCAACACAACAGGAGCUCUGGGAGCCGACACCGGAGAGGGGACAUGUGGAUGUCCUUCUAGAUAUUAGCGAGGAGGACUUCAUGAAAGAAAUGGAGCCACACGAGUAUCACUGUUACUCCGGUUUGGAAGAAGCUGUUCAUGGUUGGGCAAGAGUUGCUCCACUGAGCUGUAUAUUUUUUGACUCAAAAAACCUGCAAAAAAACAAAGCAGGCUGACAAGCCAAUGCCCUUGUGCGUUGACGCGGCAACCCCUGAUGCCAACAGCUCAACCUGGAUCGCAGAGAACCGCUGUGAGUCUCAAGGGGGCCCGCAAAACAGCUUCAAGAAAUCCCUCGCACCGAACCAGCACGCGGGCUGCUCGGGUAACACCGACUCGGCAGCUCUGCAGAAGGAUGCUUCAGAAUGGCCCGUCCUCACUCCCAUCCAGACAACCACGUCAAAACCUCCACUCAAAGAAAAGGCCGAGAGGGAAGAGGCACUCAGGGCCACGUCUGCGCAGGCUCACCACUUCCGCUCAAAAUACUCGGACAACGGAGCAGCUAAGCCUCAGAAACACAGGCCUCAUAUGAUGUUUCCCAUUAAAAACUUAACAUUUUUACCACCAAUUACGUUACAGCCCGCGAAUCACCGGAAAGCCAGUGGCAAGAAGGCCCAAGAAGGGGGAUCUACAGGGGGAAAUAUCUUCAAUGCCAAGAGCAGGAUGAAGGCAGCUGGCGUGGAGCACGUUGUUGACCCUGAGCUUCCCACUUACUCUGCAGUCCUGACCUCCAAGUACCGGCCAUGUCAGCUCAACCCCGACUUGUUCUCUGCACCCAAUAGUUCCCACGAGUUCUUCUUCAGCUGUUGCAGUUACCUAGCAACGGUGCAGCUACCUCAUAAGGAGCGAGGCAGUGCGUCUGCUUCCACUUAA
ensembl:lncRNA